GUGUGACUUCGGCCAUCGCUCUGGUAGUCCCGGUAGCUGACGAACUCCUGCCAAGGGCAGCGGUAGCCCUUGGAGAUGGCGGUGUGGUUGAACUUCUCUGGCGGGACGCCCUUCAGCGGCUCCGCAUAGCCUAGGGGCGCGGGGGGAAGGGAGCGCCUCCGUUCUUCCACCCUCAGCCCCCAACCCCACCUCGCCCCACCCCCAUUCCGCGGACGCGGUUGGAGGAGGGAAGAUCGGAGUUAGGGGAGAGGACGGCGGGAAUGGGAAGCCACAGUUGCUCCAGCACAGGAGACCCCUCCCCAUCCCAGGAAACACGGAGGACUGCAGUGAGGAAGCCACGAGUUCGCAGCGCGGGUCUUUGCCCAUAAUGGUGGAGGUAGUGAGAAAUGGUCAGAUUCUCGAUAUUUUUUAAAGAUGUCACCCAGGCUGGAGUGCAAUGGCACAAUCUCGGCUCGCUGCAACCUCCGCCUCCCGGGUUCAAGCAAUUCUCCUGCCUUAGGCUCGUGAGUAGCUGGAUUACAGACGAGUUUCACUCUUGUUGCCCAGGCUGGAGUGCAAUGGCAUGAUCUCGGCUCACUGCAACCUCUGCCUCCCGGGUUCAAGCGAUUCUCCUGCCUCAGCCUCCCGAGUAGCUGGAAUUGCAGGCAUGCACCAUCACGCCUGGCUAAUUUUGUAUUUAUAGUAGAGAUGGGGUUUCUCCAUGUUGGUCAGGCUGGUCUCGAGCUCCCAACCUCAGGUCAUCCGCUUGCCUCAGUCUCCCAAAGUGCUGGGAUUACAGGCGUGAGCCACCUCCCCCAGCUGAGCUCAAUAUUUAAAAAAAAAAAAUGGCAGGCACAGUGGCUCACAACUAUAAUCCCAGCACUUGCAGAGGGCAAAGUGGGUGGAUUGCUUGGGCCCAGGAGUUCAAGACCAGCCUGGGCAAUAUAGCAAGACCCUGUCUCUAUUAAAAAAUAAAAAAAGAUAAAAUCUAUUUGACUGAGUAUUUCUAUUUCUAGGAAUUUAUUCUCGGGGAAAAAGUUGAAUAAAUAUGUCCAAAGAUA
rnacentral:lncRNA from 1 species